UAAUUUGAAGAAGGUAACUUUGGAGUUGGCUCUUGUCUAUGUUCCUUGGAACAGGACGUCACAGAGGGUGAGAAUCCCGUGCGAUGAGAUGCCCAAUUCUAUGUAAAGUGCUUUCGAAGAGUCGAGUUGUUUGGGAAUGCAGCUCUAAGUGGGUGGUAAAUUCCAUCUAAAGCUAAAUAUUGGCGAGAGACCGAUAGCGAACAAGUACAGUGAUGGAAAGAUGAAAAGAACUUUGAAAAGAGAGUGAAAAAGUACGUGAAAUUGUUGAAAGGGAAGGGCUUGAGAUCAGACUUGGUAUUUUGCGAUCCUUUCCUUCUUGGUUGGGUUCCUCGCAGCUUACUGGGCCAGCAUCGGUUUGGAUGGUAGGAUAAUGACUAAGGAAUGUGGCUCUACUUCGGU
rnacentral:rRNA from 1 species